rnacentral:rRNA from 1 species
AUUGAACGCUGGCGGCAUGCUUUACACAUGCAAGUCGAACGGCAGCGCGGGCUUCGGCCUGGCGGCGAGUGGCGAACGGGUGAGUAAUGCAUCGGAACGUGCCCAGUAGUGGGGGAUAGCCCGGCGAAAGCCGGAUUAAUACCGCAUACGACCUGAGGGUGAAAGCGGGGGCCCGCACGGCCUCGCGCUAUUGGAGCGGCCGAUGUCGGAUUAGCUAGUUGGUGGGGUAAAGGCUUACCAAGGCGACGAUCCGUAGCUGGUCUGAGAGGACGACCAGCCACACUGGGACUGAGACACGGCCCAGACUCCUACGGGAGGCAGCAGUGGGGAAUGUUGGACAAUGGGGGCAACCCUGAUCCAGCCAUGCCGCGUGCGGGAAGAAGGCCUUCGGGUUGUAAACCGCUUUUGUUCGGGAAGAAAUCCUCUGGGCUAAUACCCCGGGGGGAUGACGGUACCGGAAGAAUAAGCACCGGCUAACUACGUG